GCGGACGUGGCGAAACUGGUAGACGCAAGGGACUUAAAAUCCCUCGGGCUUGCCCGUGCGGGUUCGAUCCCCGCCGUCCGCACCA
rnacentral:tRNA from 6 species